rnacentral:rRNA from 1 species
AUAAUGGGUCAGCGACUUAUAUUCUGUAGCAAGGUUAACCGAAUAGGGGAGCCGGAGGGAAACCGAGUCUUAAUUGGGCGUUAAGUUGCAGGGUAUAGACCCGAAACCCGGUGAUCUAGCCAUGGGCAGGUUGAAGGUUGGGUAACACUAACUGGAGGACCGAACCGACUAAUGUUGAAAAAUUAGCGGAUGACCUGUGGCUGGGGGUGAAAGGCCAAUCAAACCGGGAGAUAGCUGGUUCUCCCCGAAAGCUAUUUAGGUAGCGCCUCGUGAAUUCAUCUCCGGGGGUAGAGCACUGUUUCGGCUAGGGGGCCAUCCCGGCUUACCAACCCGAUGCAAACUGCGAAUACCGGAGAAUGUUAUCACGGGAGACACACGGCGGGUGCUAACGUCCGUCGUGAAGAGGGAAACAACCCAGACCGCCAGCUAAGGUCCCAAAGUCAUGGUUAAGUGGGAAACGAUGUGGGAAGGCCCAGACAGCCAGGAUGUUGGCUUAGAAGCAGCCAUCAUUUAAAGAAAGCGUAAUAGCUCACUGGUCGAGUCGGCCUGCGCGGAAGAUGUAACGGGGCUAAACCAUGCACCGAAGCUGCGGCAGCGACACUGUGUGUUGUUGGGUAGGGGAGCGUUCUGUAAGCCUGUGAAGGUGUGUCGUGAGGCAUGCUGGAGGUAUCAGAAGUGCGAAUGCUGACAUAAGUAACGAUAAAGCGGGUGAAAAGCCCGCUCGCCGGAAGACCAAGGGUUCCUGUCCAACGUUAAUCGGGGCAGGGUGAGUCGACCCCUAAGGCGAGGCCGAAAGGCGUAGUCGAUGGGAAACGGGUUAAUAUUCCCGUACUUGGUGUUACUGCGAAGGGGGGACGGAGAAGGCUAUGUUGGCCGGGCGACGGUUGUCCCGGUUUAAGCGUGUAGGUGUGUGUUCCAGGUAAAUCCGGUUCACUUUAACACUGAGGCGUGACGACGAGGCACUACGGUGCUGAAGCAACAAAUGCCCUGCUUCCAGGAAAAGCCUCUAAGCAUCAGGUAACAUCAAAUCGUACCCCAAACCGACACAGGUGGUCAGGUAGAGAAUACCAAGGCGCUUGAGAGAACUCGGGUGAAGGAACUAGGCAAAAUGGUGCCGUAACUUCGGGAGAAGGCACGCUGACACGUAGGUGAAGUGAUUUACUCAUGGAGCUGAAGUCAGUCGAAGAUACCAGCUGGCUGCAACUGUUUAUUAAAAACACAGCACUGUGCAAACACGAAAGUGGACGUAUACGGUGUGACGCCUGCCCGGUGCCGGAAGGUUAAUUGAUGGGGUCAGCGCAAGCGAAGCUCCUGAUCGAAGCCCCGGUAAACGGCGGCCGUAACUAUAACGGUCCUAAGGUAGCGAAAUUCCUUGUCGGGUAAGUUCCGACCUGCACGAAUGGCGUAAUGAUGGCCAGGCUGUCUCCACCCGAGACUCAGUGAAAUUGAACUCGCUGUGAAGAUGCAGUGUACCCGCGGCAAGACGGAAAGACCCCGUGAACCUUUACUAUAGCUUGACACUGAACAUUGAGCCUUGAUGUGUAGGAUAGGUGGGAGGCUUUGAAGUGUGGACGCCAGUCUGCAUGGAGCCGACCUUGAAAUACCACCCUUUAAUGUUUGAUGUUCUAACGUGGACCCGUUACCCGGGUUGCGGACAGUGUCUGGUGGGUAGUUUGACUGGGGCGGUCUCCUCCUAAAGAGUAACGGAGGAGCACGAAGGUUGGCUAAUCCUGGUCGGACAUCAGGAGGUUAGUGCAAUGGCAUAAGCCAGCUUGACUGCGAGCGUGACGGCGCGAGCAGGUGCGAAAGCAGGUCAUAGUGAUCCGGUGGUUCUGAAUGGAAGGGCCAUCGCUCAACGGAUAAAAGGUACUCCGGGGAUAACAGGCUGAUACCGCCCAAGAGUUCAUAUCGACGGCGGUGUUUGGCACCUCGAUGUCGGCUCAUCACAUCCUGGGGCUGAAGUAGGUCCCAAGGGUAUGGCUGUUCGCCAUUUAAAGUGGUACGCGAGCUGGGUUUAGAACGUCGUGAGACAGUUCGGUCCCUAUCUGCCGUGGGCGCUGGAGAACUGAGGGGGGCUGCUCCUAGUACGAGAGGACCGGAGUGGACGCAUCACUGGUGUUCGGGUUGUCAUGCCAAUGGCACUGCCCGGUAGCUAAAUGCGGAAGAGAUAAGUGCUGAAAGCAUCUAAGCACGAAACUUGCCCCGAG